rnacentral:rRNA from 1 species
GGGCCGUAGAUGGGUAUAGGUGUAGGAGGUAUCGACCCCUUCUGUGCCGUCGUUAACACAAUAAGUACCCCGCCUGGGGAGUACGGUCGCAAGACUAAAACUCAAAGGAAUUGACGGGGGCCCGCACAAGCAGCGGAGCAUGUGGUUUAAUUCGAAGCAACGCGAAGAACCUUACCUAGACUUGACAUCUCCUGCAUUACCCUUAAUCGGGGAAGCCCUUCGGGGCAGGAAGACAGGUGGUGCAUGGUUGUCGUCAGCUCGUGUCGUGAGAUGUUGGGUUAAGUCCCGCAACGAGCGCAACCCUUAUUUUUAGUUGCUACCAUUCAGUUGAGCACUCUAAAGAGACUGCCCGGGUUAACCGGGAGGAAGGUGGGGAUGACGUCAAAUCAUCAUGCCCCUUAUGUCUAGGGCUACACACGUGCUACAAUGGUGAGAACAAAGAGACGCAAGACCGCGAGGUGGAGCAAAUCUCACAAAACUCAUCCCAGUUCGGAUUGCAGGCUGAAACUCGCCUGCAUGAAGCCGGAGUUGCUAGUAAUCGCGAAUCAGCAUGUCGCGGUGAAUACGUUCCCGGGCCUUGUACACACCGCCCGUCACACCAUGAGAGUUGGCAAUACCCGAAGUCCGUGGGGCAACCGUUUACGGAGCCAGCGGCCGAAGGUAGGGUCAGCGAUUGGGGUGAAGUCGUAACAA